GUUACUCUUACAGCCGCGAAGGUACGAAAGUAAACUUCAAUAUUGUUUUAAUUGCUACUGUAUUAUGUUUUAAAACCGUUAAUCUUAUUGUGAUUUGUUUUGUCAAUAUUACGGUGCCUUGUUUUCAUAACAUUCAACUCUUCAUUGGCUUUGAUUUAGUUAACAUUUUUGUGUAAAUAGAAUAAUGUCAAUAAGCUCUGGUUCAGAUUUGUCUGAUUAUGAAGACAUUACUGAUACAUUAUAUAAAGUAGAAGAAGACACUACAACUUUGAAAGUUUUAGACAACACCAAGCCCUGCAUUUGCGAUUUAUUUGAGAAAGCUACUCGAUUUCUUCAUAGUUAUGAAAUCAUUAAUUCUGUUAGGUUUGCUGCCCUUUACACUCCAUAGAGCUUUGAAAGUUCAGGUAUAGUAUAUAUUUUUAACUGAAGCUAGCAUUAUCUGGAAAAGCAACGAUAUUUGCUAUUAUGAAUGUUUAAAGUUUUGUGAACUUGGUGUAGUUAUGGUGAUUUUGAAAUUCUAUUUUUUUUCAUUUUGAAAUUCUAUUUUUUUCAUAUUAUAUUUUUUUUAAUAUUAUAUUUCAUAUUAUAUUAUUUUGAAAUUCUAUUUUUUUCAUAUUAUAUUUCUUUUCUUUUUUUAUUUCAGCAAAAAUACUGUUGAUAAAUGAAUUUAAUUUAGUAAAUUUACAUGACUGGAAUUUACUUUUUUGACCAUUAAUUGACAUUGGAUUGAAACAUUAAAACAAACAUCACCACAAACAAAGUAAGUAGUAAUAAAACCACACAUAAAAAAAUUUAAUCUGAGUCAAGGUAAGAAGCAGGGUGGCCACGGCUCCUUAAAUUUUUA